AUUUAAGAGAAAUCAACAAGCGAUAUCACGAGGAUGAAGAAGGAAGGUACAUAUUUUAUUUAGUUUUCCUCAAAGGUUAUAUAUUUAGUGAAUGAGUCCUCUGUUUCUUCUACUUUGAUCUUUGUUACAGGAGAUUCCGUGGAAACCAGUAUACCUAGAUUCUUCAGAAUUUUCAAGAGAAAAUCUUGCCAAAAACAGAUUGUAGAAAGAAAAAGCUAAGACAAAUAUACAGUUUUCGACCUUUCUUUGAUUUUUACUCUUUCAAGG